GACGAACGCUGGCGGCGUGCUUAACACAUGCAAGUCGAACGGAAAGGCCCUGCUUUUGUGGGGUGCUCGAGUGGCGAACGGGUGAGUAGCACGUGAGUAACCUGCCCUUGACUUUGGGAUAGCUUCAGGAAACUGGGGCUAAUACCGGAUAGGAGCUCCUGCUGCAUGGUGGGGGUUGGAAAGUUUCGGCAGUUGGGGAUGGACUCGCGGCUUAUCAGCUUGUUGGUGGGGUAGUGGCUUACCAAGGCUUUGACGGGUAGCCGGCCUGAGAGGGUGACCGGCCACAUUGGGACUGAGAUACGGCCCAGACUCCUACGGGAGGCAGCAGUGGGGAAUAUUGCACAAUGGGCGGAAGCCUGAUGCAGCAACGCCGCGUGCGGGAUGACGGCCUUCGGGUUGUAAACCGCUUUCGCCUGUGACGAAGCGUGAGUGACGGUAAUGGGUAAAGAAGCACCGGCUAACUACGUG
rnacentral:rRNA from 1 species